rnacentral:lncRNA from 1 species
CAGUGCAUUCAGAAAAGAAAUAAAUUAGUGUAUUCACAUUGCAACUUAAUAAUUUCAUUGAAAAAUGUCUUAAUUUAAGAGAAAACAUAAUGAUUGUUAAUUUUCAUCUAUUAAUAAAAUUAUACCCUUAAUUUUGCUAUUAUUUUGUCGGAAAUCUCAUACCUGCGAAAUACUAACUAAUAUGGAAUAGCAACGAUCACUCGUCAAACAAAUGGAAACGGAACAUAUGUUAUUUGGUCAACUACCACAGAUUACUACAUUUUGUCAUUAGAGUGUAUAAUACAUUGUGUGUUACCUGUGUGAAGUCAAUAGUAAGUAAAAUUAAGAUACUUCCUUGAAAUGCUAUAAUUAUAGCAGUUUACCAAUAAAAUAUGAAUUAUACAAUACCACGAACACAAUAAAACUAAACCAACAUAAAGUGUCGAUUAAACAAUGACGAGUUAACAAAACAAAAAUCCACAACACAUGUGCGAUUUUACACAAACUUUACAAACAAUAGGAGUGACUGAAUAAUUUUGCUAGUCCUCACAAGUGCAAGGUCAACAGUUUUGUAAUGUAUUAGAAAUAGACAUAUACUAAUGAGCUACAGAUAACUAUGCGCACGUGGCAUUGUGUCUUCAUUAAUCGAAGAAAUUGGGAGGGAUUCAAUCCACAACCGCAUGAUAAAUCUAUUAUAUCAACUGUCAUUUGCGACAAAACAUUAUUUUCGGUCAAUUAAAUAAAAGUCGAUAGCAUACAUCAUAAAAGAGAUGUCUUCGACGUUACCAUGACGCGUUCGUUUGGGCUUAAACGAUCAUGAAUAUGUGAAUUACACUCUCUCUUAACAUAUAAGAUCCAUUGGAACUCCCAGAUUGAUCCCUAACCAACAUAUCUUUAUUUUCCAGUGAUGUUCAACUUUUCCAACCUUUAUUUCACUCGAAUUCCUGUACAGAAUCAACCACUUGUUUUUAUUGUAAAUCUACUAUCGUCCUGAGUAUCCAUAUAUUUAUGGAAUAAUUUUGACACUGGAGGUAAGUAAGCAAAAUGAAUUUUGUUUCAACUAAAGACAACAAAAUAAUCUAAUAGAAAUUAAUCUUAAACAAAAUAAUAACUUUAUAGUAAACGAAUUGCAUAGUCAGAAAUAAGUAAGCAAGGAAAUAUGAAAUUAUGACAUAAUAGCAGAUAUUUCACAAAUAUCUCUCAUUGCAAUUUCUUUAGGAUAAAAGGAGUAGAAAGUUAGAGGAAAGUCUUUAUUUGUCAUUGUAAACAUUGAAGACAUAUAGAUAUAGGAAGAUGUGGUGUGAGGGCCAAUGAGACAACCCUCCAUCCAAAUAACAAUUUUUAAAAAAAGUAAACCAUUAUACCUAUUAAGGCAGGUUUAUCGACGAAAUGUAUCAAAAGAGACGCCGAAGAUACUAAAAUAGAUAUCAAAAUGCGUAGGUCGAUAACAGACUGACAACAACAUCGCAAAGAAUAACAAACGAAAUAAAAACAAACAAAAGUAAUAGUAUUAUAAACAUCACAAAAAAAACCUAAAAACUGAGCAACAAGAACUCCACCAUAAACUGGGUGUAAUAUCUGGUUUUCCGAAAUAACAAAACAAAACAGAUGUUGCUUCACAUCUGAAUUUUUUGAUAACGCAUGCAAAAUGUGAAAAAGAAAGUGUCAGAGUCAUUGAUAGGUUCACAUAUGCCCUUGACAUUAUUUCUCUAACAAUAUCAGUUAAAUAUGCAUUACCUGUUAUAUAUUUUUUAAGUACAAACAUAAUUAUAUUUAUAUAUUUUCAUGGCCAAUUUUUUAAUAUUUGGAGUAUUUGUUUUAAUGCCAAAAAUUAGCAGUUAGGUUCUAAAAUAAAUUACCGUGCAUUUUAUUUUAGCCUUGUUUUGAAAGAGGUUUUGUAAUCCACUUAAAGUUUGUUCUUAUUUCAAUCUGAUUUGUUAUAACAUUUUGACAAAUCUGAAGUUUAUGUUAUGAUGUGGUUUUCCAUCCAUUACAGAUGAAUUUGCAGCAUUGAUAAACAGAGUGUACAAUACCGGUACACGCCAUCCUUAAUGGAAAAUGCUGGAUAGUUUACGUUCGAUUGUAUAACUGGUGUUCCCGGAUUUGGAAACAAGUUAACUCAUUUAUAUCCGAACUAUUGUAAAUUCAAUAUUUGAUGAUAACGAAAUAAAUAAUAAAUUGGUGAAAACGCAAAGUUAUUGAAACGUAACUUAUUAUUUGAAUCAAUUGCGUAUGCUUAUUAAGUAUACUCGAGCUCUUACUACAAACGCAAGAUGUUGUACUUUGUAUUUCAAGGUUAUAUUGAGAUAUAAUUGUACUUAUGUAAUGUGUAACUUCAAGAGGAAGAUUGUAUGGAUUUGAUAACAGAACGACUGUAACAUGUGUAACAAAAGUGAAAGUGAGAUCAUAAUUGGGUAUAUACGGAUUAUAUUAAUGUAUGAAGUACAAACGUAGCAAAAGUCGUACAUGGCUAAAGGUGUAAUACCACCAAAUCAUGGUCAUAUCCGGUUGUAUAUGUAAAUUGGAAGAAAAAAAUAUUCCCUUGAAUUUGACAGUUGUAGGUAAUAAAUCCUAUAUUUUAUGGCAGUAACACAUUUCUGUUUCAUAAACAUAUGUCUUAGGAAUUUCAAGGCACCAUUAUUUUUUUAUUUGGGGUUUCUAUUGUAUAUUUCUUCAACUUGAGGUUAUAUGGUUACUUAAUCUUGUACACAGGUUAAAUAAUGGUGGGGGGGAUUUGAUUGGUUAACUUCCAGUGAUGGUUAUUUUCUAAUAUGCAAUAAAAUUAUAUGUGAAUUUUUUCUAUAGUACUGGACAGGAUAAAACGUUACCCAUGCCAAGUAUUUCUUUAUUUGAAACAAAGAUACAUUCGGCACAUUUUAUGAAAAAUUCAAAUCUAACAAAGACUAAUAGGGGAAAUCAAUGGUGGAAUUACACCUAAAUCAAGCAAGUUAAUAGCGAUUAUCAUAUAUACAAUGGUAGUACUUGACCUUUUUUGAGAGAGGGAACUAAAUUCAUUUCACUACAUGUAUUUCAGUUCCGGUAUACACAAUGGUCCAAAUGUAUUUUUCGUCGGCAAAUGUAUUUACAUUAGAAGAAAAAUAAUUUUAUCUUAAAUAAAAUUCAAU